ACUAAUGUUGAAAAAUUAGCGGAUGACUUGUGGCUGGGGGUGAAAGGCCAAUCAAACCGGGAGAUAGCUGGUUCUCCCCGAAAGCUAUUUAGGUAGCGCCUCGUGAACUCAUCUUCGGGGGUAGAGCACUGUUUCGGCUAGGGGGUCAUCCCGACUUACCAACCCGAUGCAAACUACGAAUACCGAAGAAUGUUAUCACGGGAGACACACGGCGGGUGCUAACGUCCGUCGUGAAGAGGGAAACAACCCAGACCGCCAGCUAAGGUCCCAAAGUCAUGGUUAAGUGGGAAACGAUGUGGGAAGGCACAGACAGCCAGGAUGUUGGCUUAGAAGCAGCCAUCAUUUAAAGAAAGCGUAAUAGCUCACUGGUCGAGUCGGCCUGCGCGGAAGAUGUAACGGGGCUAAACCAUGCACCGAAGCUGCGGCAGCGACACUAUGUGUUGUUGGGUAGGGGAGCGUUCUGUAAGCCUGCGAAGGUGACCUGUGAGGGUUGCUGGAGGUAUCAGAAGUGCGAAUGCUGACAUAAGUAACGAUAAAGCGGGUGAAAAGCCCGCUCGCCGGAAGACCAAGGGUUCCUGUCCAACGUUAAUCGGGGCAGGGUGAGUCGACCCCUAAGGCGAGGCCGAAAGGCGUAGUCGAUGGGAAACAGGUUAAUAUUCCUGUACUUGGUGUUACUGCGAAGGGGGGACGGAGAAGGCUAUGUUAGCCGGGCGACGGUUGUCCCGGUUUAAGCAUGUAGGCUGGUUAUCCAGGCAAAUCCGGAUAAUCAAGGCUGAGGUGUGAUGACGAGGCACUACGGUGCUGAAGUAACAAAUGCCCUGCUUCCAGGAAAAGCCUCUAAGCAUCAGGUAACAUCAAAUCGUACCCCAAACCGACACAGGUGGUCAGGUAGAGAAUACCAAGGCGCUU
rnacentral:rRNA from 1 species